GGUGCUGCCGAGGGGGAGUGCCGCGCUCCCACCCUCGCUGCAGCUGCGGCAGCGCCGGCCCGGGGCCACCGCGGGGCUCGGGGCUCCCGCCCGGCCCGGGGCUCCUGCCCGGGGCUCCCGCCCGGGCUGCCGGCCGCACACAGCCCGGAGCCGGAGGACGCGGCCGGAGCCGGAACCCCAGGGCUGUGGGCACGGAUGGGAUGAGAUCCAGGCCAAGAAAACAAGGAAUCCCAAACUGGCAGCUGGCUGAGCCCUCCCUGCCCCUUUUGAUGAAGAAGGCAGCACGUUCCUGACCCCAGCACCUGGGAUAAAGCUGUCCUGUGCGGGAGACUUCGUGCCACAAGCUGCAGGUGCUGCUCUCCCUGGCUGCAGACGCCGCUGCUGAGCCUCCCCAUGCCUGCAGCAGCCGGAGCUGGCUCUGCGUGCUGACAGGGCACUCCCAGACCUGCUUCUCCAGGCUCCUGAGAACAGCUCCCGAGUCCCAAUGAGGCCCAAGCUGAGGGAGGCUCCUGGAGCUGCGCUUUUGGCCUCGGCAGACUACGAGAACUUUGCUGAUGUGAACUCCACCAGGGACACGGAGAGCGAGCAGCUGGAGGGGUCCCUCUCGUCCACCAUCGCCCUCGCCGUCGUGCUGGUCAUCAUCUUCUCCCUGGUGCUCACAUCCCUCAUCACCUACUGCUUCCACAAGUGGAAACUCAGAGGGAAAAGACUGCAGAAAGCACAAGAGGAGUAUCAGAGAGACCAAGAAAAGAGCAUUUGCCAAAGCACACCUGGACUUGUUUCAUAAAGAGAGAAAACCAGGAUCCACCGUGAAGUACUCUUGAAUUACCUGAAAAUGAAAAUCAUGACAGAACUGCAAAUUUGGAAUUUCCAAGCAAAUACAUCCUUGUUUUAUCUCAUUUCUAAGAGUUGUUAGCAGUUUGGAGAUUUCCUACAGCUUUAUUAUACACACACACACAUAUAUAUAUAUAUUUAUACAUUAAGUCUCAAUUGUGCAAACUAAAACCAAUGCAAUGAUGUAUUUUUAAUCUUUUCUGUCAUUUUAAUCCUCACUGGACAAACUGACGGUGCCUGUGAGGAUGGGCAGGCCUUGGCACAGAUUCCCAGAGCAGCUGUGGCUGCCCCUGGAUCUCUGGAGGUGUCCAAGGCCAGGCUGGAGCAGCCUGGGACAGUGAGAGGUGUCCCUGCCACGGCAGGGCUGGAAUGGGAUGAGUUUUUAGCUCCACUCCAACCCUAACCACACUUUUCCGUGUAUUACUGAACCAGUAAAUUUCAAUCUGUUGCUUUCACUCUUUCACAAACCCCCUGGAAGGUGAAGAGGCAGAUUUGGGGUAUCCAAAUACCUCACAGUGGUAUUUGGAGAAUGGUUUUACUUGCAGGAGGGCUGCUUUAGACCAGAUACAAGAAGGUUUUUACACUGAGGCUGGGCAGGCCCUGCAAUAGAAUUCCCAGAGAAGCUGUGGCUGCCCCCGGAUCCCUGGCAGUGUCCAGGGCCAGGCUGGAUCACCCUGGGACAGUGGGAGGUGUCCCUGCCAUGGCAGGGUGGGCUAGGGGGCCUCUGGAAGGUCUCUUCCAACUCCAGCUCUUCAAUGAUCCUACACUGGACCACUGGGACCACAGAGGAUUUCCUCAGUAGCUGGAAAUCCAAAUUCAAAUAUCCCAGAGCAGCUCAGCUGCCCCAGCCCAGGGGAGCUGUGCUGCACUGGGGCCAGCAGGGCUGCAGGUGUUGCAGGCAUGUGCAGGUGUCGGGUCCCAUCUGGUGCUGCCAGGCUGCUCCUCAAGAGCUGCUCCUGGGCCCAGAGUGACAAUUCAGUGCUUCCUUCAGGGCUGUGCUGAGAGCUGCUCCUGGCAUUCCCACAAGUGGAUUAAGGACAUCCAGUGUAAAUGGAACUCAAAUUCCUACGGGAAGAGACAGCCUAAACCCCUUUUUUUUUAAUUAGCCAUCAAAUCCUUUUUAAACCACCCAUAUCACGGAGUGUUUCUAUUUCCAUAGCCUGUCCUGUGAUGUCACAGAGAAAUGACAGAUUUCUUGUGAGUAGCACAUCUAAGUAAUCUUUUUUAACCAAGUGAUGGAUGUAAUAUUAAUAAAUGUCAUUGUUUUAUAAAGUAGAAACCAUGUGAAGUUGCCACCAGCCCCCUGCUCAAGUCUACAGCUUGCUUGCAAUUACCAGUACUGCUGUAUGUAUUUUUAACAAGCUAUAAUACUGUGAUGAUGCUGUAAACUUACCUCUGUAGGAAAAAAAAAUGUUCUAUUUCAAAAUGUCAGGAUGAAGGAUGUAAAUGUUCUGAAAGUGCUAUCAACAACAACAACAAAAAAAAAUAAUUUCCACAGAAUAUUCUAAAGGAUUCUGUUACAUGCUACAAAUCUAUUUUACAAGGGUAUUUAUGGAUCAUACAGCCUAGUCUGUGAGAACAGUACUAUUUUAUUACAGAAUAAAUAAAUGAAUAAAUAAGCAG